rnacentral:rRNA from 1 species
AGCGAACGCUGGCGGCAGGCUUAACACAUGCAAGUCGAACGGGCGUAGCAAUACGUCAGUGGCAGACGGGUGAGUAACGCGUGGGAACGUACCGUUUGGUUCGGAACAACCCAGGGAAACUUGGGCUAAUACCGGAUAAGCCCUUACGGGGAAAGAUUUAUCGCCGAAAGAUCGGCCCGCGUCUGAUUAGCUUGUUGGUGAGGUAACGGCUCACCAAGGCGACGAUCAGUAGCUGGUCUGAGAGGAUGAUCAGCCACAUUGGGACUGAGACACGGCCCAAACUCCUACGGGAGGCAGCAGUGGGGAAUAUUGGACAAUGGGCGGCAAGCCUGAUCCAGCCAUGCCGCGUGAGUGAUGAAGGCCCUAGGGUUGUAAAGCUCUUUUGUGCGGGAAGAUAAUGACGGUACCGCAAGAAUAAGCCCCGGCUAACUUCGUGCCAGCCGCCGCCGU